CAGGUCCUAUUUUUCACUUAAAAUACGUUGUUUUGUUAGUUGUUUGAUGAGUAGAGGAAUACCCUCAGCUGUACUUUAAAUUCAAGUAAAGCCUUUCUGGUCUCUUUGUUUUCAGUAAACUAUAGGACUGCCGCACCCUUCUUUUCUGAAAAAAGUAAACUUAUGUUGGGCAGGGGACUUUGGAUGUCGAAUUAAAUGACGCUGGGAGGCAGCAAGCAGCCGCAGUAAGUUACAAACUGUAUGUAUACGUGCUAUUUGAGGAACUCAUAUGACAGUUUUGAGCCUUACGUACCCUUCGCUUGUUAAUGUCUGACAAAUUUUUCGUUUACGCCCUGUAGCUGGGUGAUAGAUUAUCCAAGGAUCCCAAAAUCUCCCUUGUAUAUUCUUCAGACCUGAGUCGAGCUUAUGAGACUGCACAGAUAAUUGCAUCCAGGUGCGGUGGGCUAAAGGUAGGUAAUAUUUUUUUGUACUUCGUUGCAUCUACUAAAGCAAAGCAGAUUCCGUAAAUUAUAGUACCGCAACUGCUUUCUUCAUGCUCUAAUCUAGAAAUUUUGGACAGAAAUGAAUUUGGAAGCUGGGUGUAUAAAUUUACCGCGUUUUGGUAAUAAGUAGACAACAAAAUGGAGUCAACUCAGCUAAAUCAGUGCUACAGAAAAAUGAUACUGGAUAAAAUCUAAUUUCGAUCUGAAACCAAAUGUAAAAAAUCUUUUGGGUUAAAUUCAGGUUGUUACCGAUCCUGAUCUACGAGAAAGGCAUAAAGGUGUUCUUCAAGGACUUGCAUACCAUGAAAUUCCCAAACUGUAUCCUGAGGCUUACCAGGCCUUUUUAUCUGGUGACACAAGUAAAGAUUUCCCGGUAAGCAAUCUUCUUUUACUUGGGUUUUGAGCAUGCAGCAAUCGGUACUUGUUUGAAUUUUGUAAGCAGAUAUAACAUCCACAUUAUAAAAGUACUCCAAUGAGAAAUUUUAUGGAAUUGGUCGGUGCGCCUUGAUUUCGGACUGUCUUUCCGAAAUCUUGGUACCGCCUGUCUUCACAGUCGGGGAGAGAGGACUCAUAGCAUAUAAGAUUGUAAUAUUAGUAAUGUUGUUUCCUGCCUAAUUAUACAAUACAAAUUUAUGUUGAUUCCAUUAUUCUACCCAUGUAGGGUGCUGAAGAAAGUCUUGAUCAACAUUAUCAACGCUGCACAUCUUCGUUGCAGCGAAUUGGCAAUAAACACAAAGGUAUGUUAUCACGGGCGGAUGUCGCAUUUGUAUUUUUACUGCUACGGAAUUCGUAAAAAUUUUGUUUGAGAUUACAUGAGUACUUAAGAAAACUAACUGGUUCUUUGUUGAAUGUAACACAUGUCAGAACUAAGCCGCAAUAACAAAUGCCAAUUUAGAUCAGUGGCGACAAAAAUUACAAUCUGAAUGUUUAUAUCUGGCUUGUUACAAUCGCAGGAGAGCGAGUAGUUGCGGUCACCCAUGGGGCGGUCAUACAUACACUCCUCACGAAGGGUUACCCAAAUGGCGAUUUUAUUGGCAAAAUUAUACCCAAUACAUCGAUCCAUGUAUUUCGCUUGUACGAUGACGAAAAAUGGACCGUAAAAUCCUUAGGUGAUGUUAGUCACCUCAACCAAACUGAUUUUUUGUAAUCAGCUCUCCGUGGGGACGAAAAAUCUGCCUAGUCCGUGUGUCGGGUUCUCUCGCAAUUUGUAGUAAUGAAUUGAAUGCUGGAACUGCCUAGUCACUAUUCAGUAACAAUGUCAUUUAGCUGAUGCUGGAUUAUCGCAUUAAGGUGGCCUAUGUUCUUGAGAAUAAUAUGUCGUAUUGCUUGAUAUGGUUAUUGGAUUGGAAGAAGUUCAAGCAUAAGAUAAUUUAUUAUUUAGCAAAUGCAAUCUGUUAAAAAUUAUACUAUAUAUGCUCUGAAGUAUCUUAUGCACUAAGGUUUUGGCAAUUAAUUCUUGGUCUUGGAUUUCUAACAGCCUAAAACCUCAGUGUAUAGUAUGCGUCGGAGCAUUAAUCCCGCAUCAUUAUAUGCCAACAUCAAUUAGGACACUAUCAUGUGAGAUGGAAUCGUUUCUCUAAUUGGAAUGAGGGAAGUAUUGUCCUUCCAAAAAAGUCAUAUUCCACCCCUUACGGAUGGAAAAAAAAGAUUAACAAGUGUAAAAUUAUUUUUAGAGAGCCAAUAGCAAUUUUUAAAAAUAAAUAUACUUUCAUACACGAAAUGACAAUAUAUACGAAAUUUUAAUAUGUUUUGUACGUAGUAUAUGAGGACCUUAGAGACUUACAGAUCAGAAAUCCAAUGUAGGGAUCUUUCGAAUUAAAGAAUCUUAGAUUAUGGACUCUUGUAGGUAGUCGAUGAUCUGAUUGUUGGAUCGUUAUCGAAUUUUAGUAUGUUAUUGUAUUUAUUAUGUAAGGACCUUUGGAAUCUACUAAUCGGAAAUCCGAUAUACAAAUCUUCCAGAUUGAAGGAAAUACGGUAGACUUUACAGUGGUUAGCUCCAUUAAUCUUAGUGAAGUGAUAUUUGGUCUUAAUGGAUGAUUAACGUAAUUAAAUGUUAAUAUGGUGCUUCUUUGAUUCAUUGGAUCAAUUAUUUUCUCGUGAUUGUUGACUUGUCAUUGGAAGAUAGUGUGAGGUAUGUGAUGGAUGAAAUGGAAUUCUUGGUUAUUAUAUAUUUUUUUUAAGUAGUCUAGAAUCUAGUGAAUUAUACUCGUUGAGUUCCAUGGAGUGAUUCUGGAACUUUAUGUUAUUUUCCUAUUGAGAGAUGCCAUGAGAAACGUCGGGGUUAAUAAUGGUGAACUGAGAAUGGCUUGAUUCCGUUUUAAGGUACAUAACCAAUCUAACAGAGGUUAUAUAUAGCCAUGGAAUAAAAGAAGAAUUGCUGCGUAGUGGAACCAUUGAUUGGGUUUUGGGUCAUGCCUCGGAGGUGAGACAUGAGAGACGUGCAAGUACUUGGUGACGUCAAAUGUUGAUCCUGACCUCAGGAUCAGGGCGUGAUAAUCUCAACUAUCUGAAUUUGCAUAUAUUAUCCCUCUAGUAGAUUAAAAAAAAAUUAAUAUAUACAUAACUAAUGUGCCAUUUUUGUUUAAAUAAAUGAAUAAAAUUAAAGGCUUGUUUGAUAAUUAUUCUAGUUUUUUAUUUUAAUUUUUUUUUAAAUCAAAAAAUUUUUAGUAACUGUUUUCAGUUGAAAACAAUGUGACAUAAAGAUCAAAACCAAGCCAAAUAUAAAAGAACUUUUCCGUUAGCACCCUUUCCCUUAGUGUAGAUAAUAUCAUUUGUUUAAAAAAAAAAAACAAGUAUGUGUAGGAUGUUUUAAGUAUGUAGGAUGCAUUCAACAACAUAUAUGGGGUGCCAAUAAAACAACCCUUGAAGAAGCUUGUGAUUUAAUAAAAACCUGGCGUUAGAUUACAUAUUGAUUAUAGUCCAUUGAUGUGUGCUUAGUUCAAAUUAACUAAUGUUUAUUUUAUUCAAUGUCUCCCAUUAAAUAUUUAAAUUUAUUAAUAAACACAUUUUAAUUUAUUUUUUGUCACAGUCCGUUCCGAAAUACUUUUAUCGAAGGUGUGAAAAGACUAGAAUGCCCUUGGGCGUUGAGAUGAGUCGUAUAUGACAUGGUUUUAGAAGUGGACCAAUAUAAUUAUUUUCCUAAGUUUUUGGGGCCUAUGAGAACUAAACCUUGGUUAGUUGUGAUUAGUGUAUAGAUUGGACCACACACACACAUCCACAUUACUUUAUCUCUCUCUUCCCUCCCGUGUUCUCUCUCUAUCUCUCAGAUUCUCUCUCUUCUUCGAAAUGGUACGGACAAGCACCCAAGACCCUUGAAACUUCACGGAUCAUGGCCAAAAUUAGUACCAUUGUGCUCGUGAGGACCAUACGAGUUCAAAGGUACCCAUUUCAGGUAAGAACUCGUUCGAUAUCACGUUGAAAAUUCAAGCUCCAAGUUGAGCACUAUUCAUGAACUUUUAAAUGGUUAUGUUUUAUGACAAUCCAAGCUUGUAGGAAGCUUAGUGAGGUCCCCAGGAAGCUUGGAGUGCUUUGUUUGAAGGUUUUGGACGUCGGGUUUGUGUGGACGAAGUUUGGCCGGUUUUCUUUGAAUUCUCCGGUGAGAUUCUGUGACUUUUAGAACUUUAAAUUAGUAUGAUUGUGUUCUACAAGUUAAGAGCUUCAUUUUGGUAUAAAAUACUUGAAAAGUGGUGCAAAAACGAGUGAGAAAUGGGCAGUUGCAGGUCUGCCCAGAAUCCGGCACUGGUAACAUAGUUCUAGCGUCUGAAGGUUGAAGACGAUGCGCGUGGGCCGCGCGUGAAGCCAUGCCCUCCCCAGUGCGUGGGGGCGGGUGAGCCACCUAAAAAUUUAUCUAAAAAUAUCACAAUGUUCAUGAGGUUGUGUAGGUCACGUUGGUAUAUUUAAAUACCAAAAUUGAUCAAUGUAUGAGAAGUUAUUAGCUAGUUUUGUAUAUGUGCUUUAAAAUAACAUUUUUAUAGUUAAUUCGCAUAGAGGUGAGACUUAUCCCGAGGACGAGCGUAUCCACGAGCGACUCGGGGGCUACGACCCUUCGACAUACCAGUGAGUGGGCUUUUGUUUUCAGUAUAUACUUAUAUACUUGAUAUAUUUCCCAGAAAUGCAUUUUUAAGCAAAGUAUGCUUAGAAAUAAUAUGCCAAAUGCUUCUAUAUUUUGAAUAUGCAUUGCAUUGUUGCAUAUGUAUAUAUAUAAAUGUGGUGUUGUGGAGGCACAGGUGAGUUCAGGUAAGUUAUGUUUGGUUGUGUGAAUCAUCGACGAUGUGAUAUGUGAUUAAGUAAUGUUGAGCUCAUAAAGCUGCACCUAGGAUGAUUGUGAAUUAGCCAGAGAUAUGAAGUACAUGCUUGUUUAUUUACGUCACCUCCCGCACUAUAUGCUCAUAUUGGAUCCAACUUAAGUGCACAGUCUUGUCGUACAAACCUUAUUCAUGGUUCCGACUCGUAGGUGACUAGCGAUUUAUCGUCCGGCUAUUAUGAGAGAAUAGAGUUGAGCAUAAUUAUAUUACACCCAACCUUAUCAUACAGACCCUGUCUAGGGGUUCCGACUUAUGUGUAGUAUAUUACCGUAUAGGUCACAGUAGUGACUCCGGCUAGAUUGAGUUUGAGCUAUGAAUUCAGCCGUAUAGACUACCACAGAAGUUCCGGCUAACAUAUCAUAUUUCUAUGAAAUUAUUAUUACCUGGAUUGUUUACUUUGUUACAUUUUGGCAUGGCAUACAUAUGAAUAUGAUUAUGUGAAGCAUGAACUGAAUUGAUAUGAUUUCAGAUAUAUAUAUAUAUGUAUAUGUAUGUAUAUGUGUAUGCUUAUAUCUUGAUUCUGGGAAAAUAAUACAUAUUUUACAGCGAGGGGUUAGUAUAUUGAUAAAUGAAAUGAUUUUGUAAAACAUUUGUUUUUGCCCACUCACGUUUUCUGUUUUGCGCCCCUCUAGGUUCUAAGUAAGCUUGCUGUUGGUGGCUCAGGAUCGUCGGCAGUUCUGACCUAUUUGAUUAAUAGUAGGACAUUUCUGAUACUGUGUACUAGUACUUGUCCUACUAGACUGCACCUAGACUUUUUACGCUCUGAUUAAGAGUGUUUACGGUUGUAACUAACUUCUAUCACUCCCUACUAGCAGUACACUCUAUUAAUGUGGUUUUAAAUUAUUCGUAUAUUUGCUAUCUUUAUCUCUUCUGCACUGUGCACAUGGCUACGUCACUCUCACGUGACAACCAGCAUGCCUUGACCUCAGUCAAGGUGUGUCAUUUUUUGACCAAAAAAAGUUUUUUAAUUUAUUAGUUUUAUUUAGCAUUCUUCAAAGUUGAAAGACUCAAUUAAUGUACCUAAAUGUUAGUACCGAAAUGUAUUAUAUUGAAUUAAUAUACCUAAAUGUUUGUAUCAAAAUAUAUAUACUGAAAUGUGUGUACCUAAAUGUAUGCACCAAAAUAUAUUAUAUUGAAUUAAUAUACCUAAAUGUUUGUAUCAAAAUAUAUAUACUGAAAUGUGUGUACCUAAAUGUAUGCACCGAAAUGUAUUAUAAUGAAUUUGAUAUAUCUAAAUGAAGAAAACAAGGUAUAUCUAAAUAUAUUGUAUAACAUAAAUUAGUUUAUCUAAGAUUUACAACAAAAUAUAUUACGAUGAAUGAAAUAAAAAUUAUAAUUAUAAUGAAAUAUAAUUAAUAUAUUAAAGUUAGGAAGAAAAAGAGAAAUAAUUAAAACAUCAAAAUUAAUUAAUAGAUGAGGUGAUUAAUGUAUCAAGGGACUAAAAUUAGAUUUUGAUCUUACUUAUGGUUUUAAUCUAAAUGUCAUCUUUGCUAAUUAUUAAAAUAAAGUUUCCUAAUAUAAAAACUACAAAAAAAAUUGUUUUAAUUUUUUAUUUUCAGUAUUUAUACCAUGGAAAUUUUCAGUUUCUAAAAAAUUGACAUACAUUAUUUGGUGGGAAAGUAAACGGCCAAAAGAACUAGAUUCCAAGCAAGUUCCAUGUCCUUUUACAAACAGUCAGAUUCUUCUUCUAUUUAAGGCUAAAUAGCUAAAAUGGUCCCUAAGAUUUGCACAACUUAUCACUUUGGUCCCUAACAUUUCAAAUCGAUAAAAGUGGUCCCUGAGAUUGUCCACCAUCCAUCAUUUUAAUCAUUCCGUUAAAAACUCCGUUAAGUGUCCAGGAGCUCUUGGCCGGAAGUUUGAGCAAUUUUCAAAGCUUCGUAACUCAAUCGUUUCUUAACCAAAUUCGACCCAUAAUAUAUCAAAAUGAAGAUAGGAAAGUGUAGAAUACGAUUAUACCUAUUUAGAAGCCCAAUGGAUGCCAGAGAUGCCAGAAAAUAGCCUCAAAGUUGACUGGUCCGAGGGAAAACUGGAAAACUCGCCGGAAACUGAGUAAACUUUAAACGUUCAUAACUUCUUCAAUACUCAACGAAAUCAAGUGAUUCAAAAACAAAAAUUAUAAUUCUCAAUGAGACGAAGAUCAUGGUACCUUUGUAGAUGGUUAAAGCACCAUGGUUUAGUCGGAAAACGGCUCGAAAGUGGCUAACUCGAGACCAAGACAGCCACUUUCAAGCCGUUUUCCAGCAAAAAAAGGGUGAUUUAGCCAUAAAAAAAUGUAUCAUUCUCUUUGUCUCGUUGAGAAGUAUGAUUUUUGUUUUUGAAUCACUUAAUUUCAUUGAGUAUUGAAGGCAUUAUGAACGUUUAAAGUUUACCCAGUUUUCGGCAAGUUUUCCAGUUUUCCUUCGGCCAGUCAACUUUGAGGGUAUUUUCCAGCUAUCUCUGGCAGUCAUUGGGCUUCUAAAUAGGUAUAAUCUUAUUCUACACUUUCCUAUCUUCAUUUUUGUAUAUUAUGGGUCGAAUUUGGUUAAGAAACGAUUGAGUUACGAAGCUUUGAAAAUUGUCCAAACUUCCGGCCAAGAGCUCCAGGACACUUACCGAAGUUUUUAACGGAAUGACCAAAAUGAUGGAUGGUAGACAAUCUCAGGGACCACUUUUAUCGAUUUGAAAUGUUAGGGACCAAAGUGAUGACUUAUGCAAAUAUCAAGGACCAUUUUGACUAUUUAGCCUCUAUUUAAUUAACAAUGACUACAACGCGCAAUCUAAGUACUGGUUUGAUACUGAUGUGCUUUUAUAAAAAAUGGGUAUAAAAAAAGCUGAGCUCAAAAAAGUGUUUGGUAAACACUUAAAAACAACUUAUUUUCACAGUUUUGGGUAGACUUGGCAUUCGUGUCGUGUUUUCCGUGUUCGUGUCGUUUUCGUAUCAUACCCGAUAUCUUAACGGGUCGUGUCGUGUAACACCCGUUAAAAUAAACGGGUAAAAUGACCCGACCCGAAAUCGACCCGAUAAUAUUCACAGGUAAUAUGACCCGACCCGUUACCCGUUAAGGAAAAUAUAUUUUAAACCAAUAAAUAAUCAAAUGAAAAACAUAAUACUAAAUAAGUAUAUACAUUCCAUAUUAUCACAUCCAAAACAUAAAAACGCAAUUUUGUUUUAAGUAUAUUUUCGCUUACCUAAAGUCUUUAAUAGUUUUUUUAAUUAAUGUAGAAGUGUAAAAAAAUAUAGAAAACAAAUAUAUAAACACUCGUAAUGACAAUCUUUAUAACUUUCAUGAAGAGCUUAACUUCGAAAUUCGCCACUAUAAUCAUAUAAAUCAUAGAUCAAAAUUUAACCGUUGAUUGUUGUUUACAUUUAUGUUUCAUUGUUCUCAUCAAAUUUCGUUUUUUUAGAUUUUCUUUUUUGAAAACAUGAUCUAUUAGAGGGUGCAGGUAGAUGAACGGUUUGGAUCGUUGAUAUUAUAUUUAGAGUUUUACGGUUAGUGAAAAUAUUGCUUGAUGUUUAUAAAGUUUCUACAUAUUAUAUGACAUUGACUCAUAUUUCAGUUAACUGUAAAUAUCGAAACGUGAUAUCAUCUUCUUACAUCCGCCAGAUGAUCAUGUUUUCAAAAAAUAAAAUUUUAAAAAUAAAAUUCAGUAAGAAGAAUAAAGCGUAAAUGACAAUCGACGGUUAAAUAAAUUUAAGGUUUUACUACUACAAAAUUAUCUAUUGCUAGCGGUCCAAAAACUUUUUUCAACGAUCCAACCAUCAAACUUAUUUGUACACAUUCCAAGAUUGCAUACAUAAAAAAUCGUAAAAAACAAGCAUUCAGAGAUUACGUAACAGAACAAAAGUUUUCGACGGUUAUAAACGAAAAAUCACAAUUUAACUGUUAUUUUAGCUCCGAUUUUGAUGAUUUUUUAGAGAUACACUCCUCGACCUUAUAAGAAUGUAAUGAAUAAAUUUGAUCUUUAAUUUAAAGUAUUUACACUUGUGGAUACCACAAAAACUUAUUUUAUACUUAAUAGAAGUAUAAUAUUAACUCUAAGUGUUUGUUUAAUCUACCGUUUUGAUGCAAUAUGCAUUCUACGAAACUUUUUUCAACGAUCCAACCGUCAAACUUAUUUGUACACAUUCCGAGAUCGGAUACGUAAAAAAUCGUAAAAAACAAACAUUAAGAGAUUACGUAAUGGAACAAAAGUUUUCGACGGUUAUAAACGAAAAAUCACAAUUUAACGGUUAUUUUAUCUUCGAUUUUGAUGAUUUUUUACAGCUAGACUCCUCGACCUAUAAGAAUGUAAUGAAUAAAUUUGAUCUUUAAUUUAAAGUAUUUACACUAGUGGAUACUUAAUAGAAGUAUAAUAUUAACUCUGAGUGUUUGUUUAAUCUACUGUUUUGACGCAAUAUGCAUUCUACAAAACUUUUUUCAACGAUCCAACCGUCAAACUUAUUUGUACACAUUCUGAGAUCGCAUACGUAAAAAAUCAUAAAAAACAAACAUUCAGAGAAUACGUAACAGAACAAAAGUUUUCGACGGUUAUAAACGAAAAAUCACAAUUUAACGGUUAUUUGAGCUCCGAUUUUGAUGAUUUUUUACAAAUAUACUCCUCGACCCUAUAAGAAUGUAAUAAAUAAAUUUGAUCUUUAAUUUAAAGUAUUUACACUAGUGGAUACCACAAAAACUUAUUUUAUACUUAAUAGAAGUAUAAUAUUAACUCUAGGUGUUUGUUUAAUCUACCGUUUUGACGCAAUAUGCAUUAUACGAAACUUUUUUCAACGAUCCAACCGUCAAACUUAUUUUUACACAUUCCGAGAUCGCAUACGUAAAAAAUCGUAAAAAACGAACAUUCAGAGAUUACGUAAUGGAACAAAAGUUUUCGACAGCUAUAAACGAAAAAUCAUAAUUUAACGGUUAUUUUAUCUCCGAUUUUGAUGAUUUUUUACAGAUACACUCCUCGACCCUAUAAGAAUGUAAUGAAUAAAUUUGAUCUUUAAUUUAAAGUAUUUACACUAGUGGAUACCACAAAAACUUAUUUUAUACUUAAUAGAAGUAUAAUAUUAACUAUAUGUGUUUGUUUAAUCUACUGAUUUGAUGCAAUAUGCAUUCUACAAAACUUUUUUCAACGAUCCAACCGUCAAACUUAUUUGUACACAUUCCGAGAUCGCAUAAGUAAAAAAUCAUAAAAAAAAAACAUUCAGAUAUUACGUAUCGGAACAAAAGUUUUUUACGGUUAUAAACGAAAAAUCACAAUUUAAUAGUUAUUUUAGCUUCGAUUUUGAUGAUUUUUUACAGAUACACUCCUCGACCCUAUAAGAAUGUAAUGAAUAAAUUUGAUAUUUAAUUUAAAGUAUUUACACUAGUGGAUACCACAAAAACUUAUUUUAUACUUAAUAGAAGUAUAAUAUUAACUCUAAGUAAUUGUUUAAUCUACCGCUUUGACGCAAUAUGCAUUCUAGGAAACUUUUUUCAACGAUCCAACCGUCAAACUUAUUUGUACACAUUUCGAGAUCGCAUACAUAAAAAAUCGUAAAAAACAAACAUUCAGAGAUUACGUAAUGGAACAAAAGUUUUCGACGAUUAUAAACGAAAAAUCACAAUUUAACGGUUAUUUUAGCUCCGAUUUUGAUGAUUUUUUACAGAUACACUCCUCGGCCCUAUAAGAAUGUAAUGAAUAAAUUUGAUCUUUAAUUUAAAGUAUUUACACUAGUGGAUACUACAAAAACUUAUUUUAUACUUAAUAGAAGUAUAUUAUUAACUCUAAGUAUUUGUUUAAUAUACCGUUUUGACGCAAUAUGCAAUCUACAAAACGUUUUUCAACAAUCCAACCGUCAAACUUAUUUUACACAUUCCGAGAUUGCAAACUUAAACAUCGUAAAAAGCAAACAUUCAGAGAUUACGUAACAGAACAAAAGUUUUCGACGGUUAUAAAUGAAAAAUCACAAUUUAACGGUUAUUUUAGCUUCGAUUUUGAUGAUUUUGUACAUAUACACUCCUCGACCCUAUAAGAAUGUAAUGAAUAAAUUUGAUCUUUAAUUUAAAGCAUUUACAUUUUUUUUAUAUAUGAGUGAUUGUAUAUAUAUAUUUUUUUACAUUUUUUACACUUCUACAAUAAUUAUUAUUAAUUUUAUUAAUUUUGCCCUCAAAUAAAAAACAUUAUUCAUGAGGGUUUGAAGGAUUUUAAAAAUCUAAACGAUAAUAUAAGUGUAACAAUUAUCUAUUCGUAGAGGAAUAAUGAUAAAUCACGAGUGUUUAUAUAUUCUUUCACAUUUUUCAUACUUGUAUGUAUGUCUUCUUAGUUCUUGCAUAUACAAAUACUAUACUAGUAUAUUUUAAUUUUGGACAAGAAUAUGUUAUGUAAAAUUUAUCCUAGUAAUGAUAAUAAGGAACUCUCAUAAUAAAAAUAAAUAAUGACUAAAACUUUUUUUUUUUAUAAUUUAUAUAGAACAAUAAUACAAAACUAUAUAUUUAAUAUAGAAUAUAUUGUAUAUAUUAAUAUGACUAUUGUAUUUUAUAAUAAAUCUUUUAGUAAUUAAACUUUAAAAUUAUUAAAAUAUUUUUUUUCUUAACAGGUCGAAACGGGUUACCCACGUGUUACCCGCGUGUAUACCUGUUAAGAACCCGUUAUUAACAGGUUCUUAACAGGUCACCCGAUAGUGACUUGAUAAGGUAUCGUGUUGACCCGAAACCCGUUAUUUUCGUGUCGUUUUCGUGUCGUGUCACCGUGUCGUGUCAAAAACUGCUAGGUCUAGUUUUGGGUGAAAAAAGUUGAAAACGUGAAAUAGCAAAAAUGAGCUUAUUCUCACAGCACAACAAUAAUAGUUUUUUUUUCAAAGUACAGUAAUACCAAUCAGUCCUAAGUCCUCUUCUCUCACUUUCACUCGAAAAAUGAUCAUUCCCUAUGGAUUCCAGGGAUCUCGUGAUCGUGAUCAUUCAUCAUACAUCAUUCGAUCAGAAAUCAUUAGAAAUUUAAAAUUUAAAAUUAAAUAUAAAUAGUAGCUAACGAAAACUGACCAUACAAUAUAUAAUGAAUGACCACGAUCACGAAACCCCUAAAAAAAUGAUACGAGGAGGAUCUUUUCCCUUUCACUCAACCCCCUCACGCUGCACGCAGCUCGCAGCUCAGCAUUGACUUAUACGGCGGCGGCGUCAGCUCCCGAUUCAUUCUCCUUGUAACCCUAUCCUCCAUUUCCUUCCAAUCGCAUACUUUUGUCAAUAAACUGAAAAAAAAAAAGAAAAAAAAAGAAAAAAAAAAAAGAGCUUUUAAUUCAAUGGUUCUUAUAAUCUUGUGGAUUCAAUGCAACUGCGUUGACUCGGAUUAAAAAGCUUUAAAUAAAUUUAUUACCAGGUCAUAUAGAAGAUUGCUUGUAACAAAAAGAGUAUAAAUGAUCAUAUGGUUGAAAUCGCUCAGAAAAAUAAACACUUCAUAGAGAAUUCGAAGUAAUAACUCAUCGAGGUUUAAAAGAAUUGUAGCAUUUAUAGAGCAAAAUCACUUGAUUUCAAGCCAUCAUAUGUUAUUCGUAUCAUGUUUUUAUACCACAUUUUCAUACCACCUUAGAUGACAUUUGAUGUAGACAGCCACAUCAUUUGAAAAAUUUGCAAAACCUAAGGAAAAGAAGAAGAAAGAUUCUUUGUAUACCACAAUAAUUAUUUAAUUAACUAGUUUUUCUUAAUUAUUAAUUUAUUAAAUAAUGAACUAAAUUUAAAAAUCUGAUUAACUCAAAUGAUAGACUCUUCUUCAAAUGCCACCUAGGGUGGCUGUCCAUAUCAAAUAUCAUCCAGAGUGGUAUAAAAAUAUGGUACAAAAAAUAUGAAUAGCAUUACUUUUUUUUUUUAUGCACAAAUAAAAGACAAAAAACUGUGACAAUUUUCCAUAGUUGGUGGAAAAGUAAACGCCUGCAACAAAGACUAGAUUCCAGGAAAUUUCCAUGUCUUUUCACAAACAAUAGACUCUUCUUCUAUUUAAUUAACAAUGAUUGCAAUGCGCACUCUUAACCUCUCACUUUCACUCAACCCCUUCGCGCCUCACGGAGCUCGCGGCUCUGCGUUGACGCGGCACCGCCGCGUCGUCAGUUCUCGAUUCAUCCAUGGCGGAGGCCCAUUCCUGGUCCGAUCUCCCUCUCAUUCUCCUUGUAGGCUUGUACCUCAAUUCCCCGUUUCCUUCCAAUCGCAUACUUCGUCAAUAAAUUGAAAAAAAUGAAGCUUUAAAUUCAAUCCUUGUUUAAAUCUUGUGGAUUCAAUGCAGCUGUGUUGACUCGGAUUACGCGGAGAUCAUUGUAGUGCGUCACGGCGAAACAGUCUGGAAUGCUGAGGGUAGAAUCCAGGUCUUCUUUUUCACUUAAACUACGUCUUUUUGUUAGUUGUUUGAUGAGUAGAGGUGUAAGUUUUGAGUUAGCUCAUAUGUUCAUAGCACAAUCUAAAAUCUUUAUAUGUUCUAAUUCUGAACUCCGGAUAAUAUCAAACUUGUUAAGCAAGUAAUCAUUAAGACAAUGAAAAUGGUAUUUUAGAGUACAAAUAACGCCGUGUAAUGAUGUUCGUUCCAUCAGAAAUUGUUAUGGAAUCAUAAUGUUGUUUUAUCCUCAAUUGACAUUUUUCGCUAUUACGUGACUACGUCAUUAGCAUUGCUGGUAGGGUAACGUAUUCUUUGUUCGUCAUUUAUAUAUCUGCAUACCUUUCUACUGGAUUUGGAUCGCUGAUUAAGUAAGGCUUUUCUGGUUUCUUUGUUUUCAGUAAAUUAGAGGAAUACCCUCUGUGGUCUGUACUUUGACUGAUGUUUGUGUUUAGUACGUGAAUUUUGGAAUGGGUCACUUUGCCCCUUGUAACUUCAAUUCAAUGAUUUAAAGUGGACAUCUGUUAUCUUUCCUGUCAAAAAUGAUCAUGCAUCGCACACGCCACGCUUUCUUAGGGGCAUUUUGUAGCUCCAAAGGAACCGCAAGAGAAAGGAAAAUGAGGUGGUUUUGAUGUCUGCCUACGAAGAACACUAUAUUGCUCAUUUAAAGUAAGAGAAAAACAUUAAGUGUGCAUCGAGGUGGCGCUGCCACGACAGGCACCAAGCAUGAGUAGAUUUUCUGGAUCAUUAGUGCAAUUACCCUUCUUUUCUAAAAAACGUAAAUUUGUGUUUGGCAGGGGAAUUUGGAUGUUGAAUUAAAUGACGCUGGGAGGCAGCAAGCAGCUGCAGUAAGUUACAAAC
rnacentral:lncRNA from 1 species